rnacentral:rRNA from 1 species
UACGUAGGGUGCGAGCGUUGUCCGGAAUUACUGGGCGUAAAGAGCUCGUAGGCGGUCUGUCGCGUCUGCUGUGAAAACUCAGGGCUUAACCCUGAGCUUGCAGUGGGUACGGGCAGACUAGAGUGGCGGUAGGGGAGACUGGAAUUCCCGGUGUAGCGGUGAAAUGCGUAGAUAUCGGGAGGAACAUCAGUGGCGAAGGCGGCUACCUGGCCAAUACUGACACUCAGGUGCGACAGCGUGGGGAGCAAACAGGA